UACGUAGGGUGCGAGCGUUGUCCGGAAUUAUUGGGCGUAAAGGGCUCGUAGGCGGCCCACUAAGUCCGACGUGAAAUCCCCAGGCUUAACUUGGGAACUGCGUCGGAUACUGGUGGGCUUGAAUCCGGGAGAGGGAUGCGGAAUUCCAGGUGUAGCGGUGAAAUGCGUAGAUAUCUGGAGGAACACCGGUGGCGAAGGCGGCAUCCUGGACCGGUAUUGACGCUGAGUGAGCGAAAGCCAGGGGAGCAAACGGG
rnacentral:rRNA from 1 species